GACGAACGCUGGCGGCGUGCUUAACACAUGCAAGUCGAACGGUAAGGCUCCACUUUGCUGGGGUACACGAGUGGCGAACGGGUGAGUAACACGUGGGUAACCUGCCCUGCACUUCGGGAUAACCCUGGGAAACUGGGGCUAAUACCGGAUAGGACCAUGAUCUGCAUACUGGGGUUGAAAGUUUUUGCGGUGUGGGAUGGGCCCGCGGCCUAUCAGCUUGUUUGUGGGGUAGUGUCCCACCAAGGCGGCGACGGGUAGCCGGCCUGAGAGGGUGGACGGCCACAUUGGGACUGAGAUACGGCCCAGACUCCUACGGGAGGCAGCAGUGGGGAAUAUUGCACAAUGGGCGGAAGCCUGAUGCAGCGACGCCGCGUGGGGGAUGACGGCCUUCGGGUUGUAAACUGCUUUCACCAUCGACGAAGCGUUUGUGACGGUAGAUGGAGAAGAAGCACCGGCUAACUACGUG
rnacentral:rRNA from 1 species